GGGGGAGUAGCUCAGCGGAAGAGCACAGCGAAUUUGCCUUUAUUUUGGUUUUCAUCCUGUGGCAGUCAGCGAAUCGAACACCUAAAAUAUGGUUGGCACCAUUCCUGAGGUCCUGGGUUCAAACCCCAGUUCUCCCA